ACAGGCGUUUCAGUGUCAGACCCACCAUGAGACUCGCCGCCUUGCUGGUUCUGCUGUGCCUGUGCUGUGAGGAAAUGGCUUCUAAUCCUCACUUUCCAGGUGUCCAGGAGGAAGAAUCAUCUGGAACCAUAAAAGCUGUAGCUGAUAUCUCGGCCUCUUUUCUCAGUGGGCUAAUAGGAAAAGGAUUUGAAUGAGGACUUGGAGGAGGAUUUGCAUCAGGAAGACGAACUCUAACAGACUGAAGCCCUGAAAGAUCAUCAAGUUGGUAAGCAUGUGUGGGCUGCAGAGGCAAAUCUUUGGCUGGAUGAGGUGACAAUUCUCUUUUGUGGAUGCCAUAGGAGUGGCAUGAGGUGACGUGGAGAGAAUGCCCCAUUCUUAAAAACUUAUCUUUACUUUUUGCUAAUUGAAUUUCAGUUAAAGUUAUGUUUAGUCAUGAAGUAUGACAAAAGAUGAGUCUUCUUUUAAAGGACAAGUAUCUCACAUCCUUCACCAGCUGUUUGUUCGCACGAUGCGGCAAGGCCUUCUCACUCUUCUCUUUCUAUUAUGAAGAGGCGGGCUAAGCGCACCCCUAGAAGACGGGGUCACUCCACCGAAACCCCCUCUUAAACGGUGAUACAAUGGCAACAAAUAGUUUUUUACCUCCUCUGUCCUCCAUUAGCUGCUGUCUUGCUGCUGCUGCCGCCGUGUCGCGUCAUCUGCGUCUCGAACAUUUCAAACCCUGUAGAGCAGCUGUCCUUGCGUCUCAUUGCCUUUCCUCUCUUCUCCCCCAGAUAUCCUCUGCUUUAUUAUGCUGUUCAUGAAUAAAGUUUAUGUUUCUUGAAAACCCUGAAUGAAUCUGUGCAACUGUAUGACCCACAGAAACUGUACACACAGUACAGAAACUGCACUUG